UAAGCGGAGGAAAAGAAACUAACAAGGAUUCCCCUAGUAACUGCGAGUGAAGCGGGAAAAGCUCAAAUUUAAAAUCUGGUGGUCUUUGGCCAUNCGAGUUGUAAUUUAGAGAAGCGUCUUCCGCGCUGGNCCGUGCACAAGUCUCCUGGAAUGGAGCGUCAUAGAGGGUGAGAAUCCCGUCUUUGGCAUGGACACACCAGGGCUUUUGUGAUGCGCUCUCGAAGAGUCGAGUUGUUUGGGAAUGCAGCUCAAAAUGGGUGGUGAACUCCAUCUAAAGCUAAAUAUUGGCGAGAGACCGAUAGCGAACAAGUACCGUGAGGGAAAGAUGAAAAGCACUUUGGAAAGAGAGUGAAACAGUACGUGAAAUUGUUGAAAGGGAAACGCUUGAAGUCAGUCACGUCGACCGAGACUCAGCCUUGCCUCGGCUUGGUGUACUUCUCGGCUGACGGGUCAGCAUCAAUUUUGCCCCUUGGAUAAUGGCGAGGGAAAUGUGACACCUUUAUGGUGUGUUAUAGUCUCUCGUCGCAUGCAAGGGUUGGGAUUGAGGAACUCAGCACGCGCCCUUUGGGUGUCGGGGCUUUGCCCACGAUACGUGCUUAGGAUGUUGGCAUAAUGGCUUUAAACGACC
rnacentral:rRNA from 1 species